rnacentral:rRNA from 1 species
GUCGUAACAAGGUUUCCGUAGGUGAACCUGCGGAAGGAUCAUUACCUAGAGUUGUAGGCUUUGCCUGCUAUCUCUUACCCAUGUCUUUUGAGUACCUUCGUUUCCUCGGCGGGUCCGCCCGCCGAUUGGACAAUUUAAACCAUUUGCAGUUGCAAUCAGCGUCUGAAAAAACUUAAUAGUUACAACUUUCAACAACGGAUCUCUUGGUUCUGGCAUCGAUGUAGAACGCAGCGAAAUGCGAUAAGUAGUGUGAAUUGCAGAAUUCAGUGAAUCAUCGAAUCUUUGAACGCACAUUGCGCCCCUUGGUAUUCCAUGGGGCAUGCCUGUUCGAGCGUCAUUUGUACCUUCAAGCUCUGCUUGGUGUUGGGUGUUUGUCUCGCCUCUGCGCGCAGACUCGCCUCAAAACAAUUGGCAGCCGGCGUAUUGAUUUCGGAGCGCAGUACAUCUCGCGCUUUGCACUCAUAACGACGACGUCCAAAAGUACAUUUUUACACUCUUGACCUCGGAUCAGGUAGGGAUACCCGCUGAACUUAAGCAUAUCA